CCUACGGGUGGCAGCAGUGGGGAAUAUUGCACAAUGGGGGAAUCCCUGAUGCAGCGACGCCGCGUGAGUGAAGCAGUAUUUCGGUAUGUAAAGCUCUAUCAGCAGGGAAGAAGCAAGACGGUACCUGACUAAGAAGCCCCGGCUAACUACGUGCCAGCAGCCGCGGUAAUACGGAGGGGGCAAGCGUUAUCCGGAUGUACUGGGUGUAAAGGGAGCGUAGACGGUAUGGCAAGUCUGAAGUGAAAGGCCAGGGCUUAACCCUGGGGCUGCUUUGGAAACCGUUAGACUAGAGUGCUGGAGAGGUAAGUGGAAUUCCUAGUGUAGCGGUGAAAUGCGUAGAUAGUAGGAGGAACACCAGUGGCGAAGGCGGCUUACUGGACAGUAACUGACGUUGAGGCUCGAAAGCGUGGAGAGCAAACAGGAUUAGAUACCCCAGUAGUC
rnacentral:rRNA from 1 species